GUCUUCAAAACACCUUCGCGGAAUCGCACUCUCGAGGAAACGGGAACGCGCUUUUCUCUCACGCAUUUCGCGCAAAAUCGCGAAAGUUCAGUUUUCCGCCCAUUGUGCGCACUAAUCUGCGCACACGGAGAGACGAUGACGACGACGCGGUUGCAUCGGUCCGUCGCACACAGCCAACCGCGGCCCUGAAGAGUCUCGUUUGGCGCGAACUGCUUACGUCAUCGCAUCGCCGCACGCAACAUUUUUAUCGCCUCGGAAAACCAUUCGCGCGCGCUCGCCCUAUCCGGCUCGCGCGUUCUCCACCGCUUUUCCCCGGGCUUGCUCAUUAGUUUUUCCCGGUGUGCAACAUAUCGCGUCACGUCCCGUCGUCAUUCGUCCGCUUCCGCUCGGCGUAUUUUCAAACGGCGGGGCUCGUAGAUUUUCCAGGAUUUCGUAACGUCGCGAUAUAUAGCUGCGCGACAGCGGCAUGACGCAAUCCACGAGAGAGAGAGAGAGCCGCGUCUCAGAGCCACCGUGCGUGAGAGAUAUGCUUUCUCUCUCUCUCGCGCGCGUGUGCGGGCGGUGCGUGUUAAAAAGUCGUUCGUGCUCACGCACGCACAGCAGGCACAUAGUACCAGCACAGCCGUAGUAAUCGUCGUCGUCGGGAGGCUCUAUCGUCGUGCGGCUCGCAAUAACGCCGUGACCACACGCUUCAAACACGUGUGGGUAUAUAAAUAAGCUUUAUGACGUCACCCCCGCGAGAAGCAGCGCGCGAUUCUGGUCCCUUCCCUCGGCCCCGCUCUCACUCUCGUUCAUCUUCUCUUCCCCGAUCUCCGAUAUCUCUCUCGUUCUCUUUGAGCUUCUCUUCGUCUCUCCUUCUCUAUCUCUCUUUCUUGCUUUCGAAGCGGUCGCGUCGCUCAAUUGCGUUUCCGCUUCGAAUUAUUCUUUUUUCUGCCCGGAAGCGCAACAGAGGGCACCGCGGGGUUCAAGCGCGCGCACGCGAGAUUCAAUGAAACGUAAGAACGGGAACAUCGGAUGGCAAAUAUAGGAGGUGUUAAUCUGCGCUGAAUGUGCGCGUAGGAGGGAAGUAAAAAAUCAGCCGGGGGUCGCGCGGAUUCUUCGGGAGAAUUCUCGGAAUAUUCUAUUCGUCCCGGUUUAUUUCCCGUGCACUGAAACCUAUGGAGAGACUGUUAAGGCUGGCGGCACGCGCGAAAACGUAAGCAACGAGACAGUCAGUCGAUUAUUCUUCGAUCGUGAGGCGAACGAUCGUCUGUGAUUGCUCUAUUUUCCUGCUCCUUACCUUUCUGGCACGUGAAGAAACAAAACCUUUUAUUGUGUAGGCAUACACAGUAAACAGUUUCGCAGUAACGUACAAACGGUCCAGCCAAAUUUUGGUGCCACUUUAAUAAGGGAUACGAAACGAGCCCAGGUGACUGGAUUCCCGGGUUAAUUUCAUCUUUUUAUCAAACGUCGAUCGACUUGCUCUUGAGCUAAAAAUAAGUUUACGGGACACCGAGUACGAGGUUGGAUUAAUAAGAGAGAGGGACGAGAGGGCGGCGAAACGCGGCGACGACGUCGUUGUUGUUUAGAGCGU